rnacentral:snRNA from 1 species
AUACUUACCUGGGAUGGGAGAUACCAUGAUCACAAAGUUGUUUUUCUCAGGGUGAGGCUUAUCCAUUGCACUCCAGAUAUGGAGAUCUCUGCGAUUUCCCCAAAUGUGGGAAACUUGACUGCAUAAUUUGUAGUAGUGGAGGACUGUGUUCGCAUUCUCCCCUG